UUUCCUGAAAGGACUGAAGUUUUGAUGUUACAAUUGUUUUGCAAGGGGAAUACUCGCAACCAUAUUUGAAACCACCACAUUUGGACCACCCUAUUUCUACACUUCUUUCAGAAUCUACAAUGGCUUUCAAUCGCAUUCUUUCCAGUGAUCAUGAUGGAAAUUACAAAGGCCCGCUCAUGCUUACUCUGAAGGCAGGGUGGAUGUUGCAUGUGGGAGGAUUGGAGCUGCAUAUUUCAGAUUCAAGCAUCUGAUGAUGGAAUAUACGAAGCUAUUAAAAUUUCAAGAUGAAGUCGAGCACAUUUCUCUAAUGAAGCCAAAGAUUUGUAUUUUCAGCAUUAUUGUAAUUAUAAUUGAUUGAAUGAAUUGGAUUGUAAUUGAUUGUAAUUGUAAUUGAUUGAAUAAAGGAUUGCAAUUGUAAUUGAUUAAAUAAAGGAUUGUAAUUGAUUGUAAUUGAAUGAAUGAAUGAUUGUAUAGGUGAGAAUUGAAUGAACAAAUGAUUAUAUAUAAUUUCUUAAUGUACAAAAUAACUACGGAUAUUGACCGUAGCCACUAAUUUGACAGGUGUAGCCUUUUUAAUUUUUGCAUAUUACUACGGACUUUUAGCUACAAAUAAUAUCCGUAGCUGUUUGA